GGUCCUGUAGCUCAACUGGAUAGAGCAACUGCCUUCUAAGCAGUAGGUUCCGAGUUCGAACCUCGGCGGGAUCA
rnacentral:tRNA from 1 species